AAACAGAUGGUGCCGCGGUUCGCCGCGGGUAAAAGGGAAACAGGUGCAAUGCCUGUGCGAUCUCGUCACUGUAUGCGGUUAGCGCUUCGUCACAAUGCCACUGAGCGAUUGGGAAGGCGGCGUUGCGUGUUAAGCCGUGAGCCAGGAAACCUGCCGUCUGUG
rnacentral:ncRNA from 1 species